GACGAACGCUGGCGGCGUGCUUAACACAUGCAAGUCGAACGAAGAGCGAUGGAAGCUUGCUUCUAUCAAUCUUAGUGGCGAACGGGUGAGUAACGCGUAAUCAACCUGCCCUUCAGAGGGGGACAACAGUUGGAAACGACUGCUAAUACCGCAUACGAUCUAAUCUCGGCAUCGAGGAUAGAUGAAAGGUGGCCUCUACAUGUAAGCUAUCACUGAAGGAGGGGAUUGCGUCUGAUUAGCUAGUUGGUGGGGUAACGGCCCACCAAGGCGAUGAUCAGUAGCCGGGCCGAGAGGAUGAACGGCCACAUUGGGACUGAGACACGGCCCAGACUCCUACGGGAGGCAGCAGUGGGGAAUCUUCCGCAAUGGACGAAAGUCUGACGGAGCAACGCCGCGGGAGUGAUGACGGCCUUCGGGUUGUAAAGCUCUGUUAAUCGGGACGAAAGGCCUUCUUGCGAAUAGUGAGAAGGAUUGACGGUACCGGAAUAGAAAGCCACGGCUAACUACGUG
rnacentral:rRNA from 1 species